rnacentral:rRNA from 1 species
GUCUGUCGUGAAAGUCCGGGGCUUAACCCCGGAUCUGCGGUGGGUACGGGCASACUAGAGUGCARUAGGGGAGACUGGAAUUCCUGGUGUAGCGGUGGAAUGCGCAKAUAUCAGGAGGAACACCGAUGGCGAAGGCAGGUCUCUGGGCUGUAACUGACGCUGAGGAGCGAAAGCAUGGGGAGCGAACAGGAUUARAUACCCUGGUAGUCCAUGCCGUAAACGUUGGGCACUAGGKGUGGGGACCAUUCCACGGUUUCCGCGCCGCAKCUAACGCAU